AAUUCUAAGGUGAGCGAGAGAACUCUCGUUAAGGAACUCGGCAAAAUGACCCCGUAACUUCGGGAGAAGGGGUGCUCUUUAGGGUUCACGCUCUGAAGAGCCGCAGUGAAUAGGCCCAAGCGACUGUUUAUCAAAAACACAGGUCUCUGCUAAACCGUAAGGUGAUGUAUAGGGGCUGACGCCUGCCCGGUGCUGGAAGGUUAAGAGGAGUGGUUAGCUUCUGCGAAGCUACGAAUCGAAGCCCCAGUAAACGGCGGCCGUAACUA
rnacentral:rRNA from 1 species